GCGACCCCAGGUCAGGCGGGACUACCCGCUGAGUUUAAGCAUAUAAAUAAGCGGAGGAGAAGAAACUACAAGGAUCCCC
rnacentral:rRNA from 1 species